rfam:Schistosoma haematobium scaffold677_7, whole genome shotgun sequence.
AUCUUUUCGAAUCCGUGAUGAAAUUUCGUCAAUCACCAACUCAUUAGAACUGAUCAAACUUCCAAGAUAAGUGAAGUU